GACGAACGCUGGCGGCGUGCUUAACACAUGCAAGUCGAACGGAAAGGCCCUGCUUUUGUGGGGUGCUCGAGUGGCGAACGGGUGAGUAACACGUGAGUAACCUGCCCUUGACUUUGGGAUAACUUCAGGAAACUGGGGCUAAUACCGGAUAGGAGCUCCUGCUGCAUGGUGGGGGUUGGAAAGUUUCGGCGGUUGGGGAUGGACUCGCGGCUUAUCAGCUUGUUGGUGGGGUAGUGGCUUACCAAGGCUUUGACGGGUAGCCGGCCUGAGAGGGUGACCGGGCACAAUUGGACCGAGAUACCGCCCCGACCUCUACCGGGGGGAGCCGGUGGGAAUAUUUCAACAUGGGGCGAAGGCUGAUGGCGCCAACCCGGGUGCGGGGAGGACGGCCUUGGGUUUUAAACCGCCUUUGCCUGUGACGGAGGGUGAGGUAAGGUAAUGGGUAAAGAAGCACCGGCUAACUACGUG
rnacentral:rRNA from 1 species